GACGAACGCUGGCGGCGUGCUUAACACAUGCAAGUCGAACGGAAAGGCCCUGCUUUUGUGGGGUGCUCGAGUGGCGAACGGGUGAGUAACACGUGAGUAACCUGCCCUUGACUUUGGGAUAACUUCAGGAAACUGGGGCUAAUACCGGAUAGGAGCUCCUGCUGCAUGGUGGGGGUUGGAAAGUUUCGGCGGUUGGGGAUGGACUCGCGGCUUAUCAGCUUGUUGGUGGGGUAGUGGCUUACCAAGGCUUUGACGGGUAGCCGACCUGAGAGGGUGACCGGCCACAUUGGGACUGAGAUACGGACCAGACUCGUAUGGGAGGCAGCAGUGGGGAAUCUGGCACAAUGGGCGGACGCCUGAUGCAGCAACGCCGGGUGCGGGAUGACGGCCUUCGGGUUGUAAACCGCUUUCGCCUGUGACGAAGCGUGAGUGACGGUAAUGGGUAAAGAAGCACCGGCUAACUACGUG
rnacentral:rRNA from 1 species